ACAUAAAAUUUUUAUUUUUUGAAAAAUAAUUAAUUUACAAAUUUAAAUUUGAAACAAUACAUUAUCAUCAAAAUCUCCUUGAUUAUGAGUCUAAUUUGUGUUUUCUUGUUAAAUAAACAUGUCAUGGAGGAAUACAAGAACUCAUGACAUUUUGUAUGUUACAUCACAAUAAGACCAAAUAUCCGUUGCAAAUCUGCAUGUGAGUAAUUCUAAAAGAAUUGAGGCCUUACUAUCAAUUAUAAGAUGCCAUAACUCCACUAGAUUUUUUAACACAACUCCUAAUAGUCCCAUGCACUUGUCAACACUUAAACCCUUGAACCUGGACCCUGGACUCUGAUAGUAGCACAUCUGAAAUAUAGUAAUCUGCUAUCAGCCAUGAAAGAAUGCACCGAAACUGGAAGUGCAUCCGCACACAAUAGUUAGUCAUAGCACCAGCAGCAGACGUAGUUUGGAAAUUUUCUAUCCUGUAUUGCGCGUGGAACACUGAACUUCACGUCGCCUAGCGUAGGUAGGUUCAAAGUGUUACUCAUGCAACAAACAAACGGCGACUUGUUCCAAUAUGGCUGACGACUAGAUAUUCAACACUUAUCCAUGCAUUCCGACUUUGAUGCCCCGCGAAGCAAACACACGGGGCCUGCUGCGUUGACGAACAAGUAACAAAUCUAAGAGCCACCUCGGCCAUACAGAGCCGGCUGCAACAGUGAACGCGGCGGGAAGACAACGUGGGAAGUGUGGUUGAAGGAGAACAACGGCUUAGAACAGAAGGCAUAGAGGAAAGGGAAGGAAUCGAACACACAACAAAUCACGAAGAGGAAAUUCGAUUCUUCGUCCAAGCAUCGCAAAAAAAAUUGCGGGGACAGAUCGAUUCGAGAAAAAAUUUGAAGCUCCGCAAUUACAGCCCGCCGAUUCUGUGCUGCCAACCGUUCUCACCGUACCGAUUCCCGUACGGCACGUACUUCUGAAGUACAUAUACCGUAAAAAUAAAUUCGUAGCUCUGUCGCUUUCUAGGUUUAGCAUGCAGAGACUAGAUCUGGGGCGAGUCGGAGCUCGGCGGCACAAUUUGCCGGAGUUGAGGUCACAUGUGGUUGAUUCGAGUCAGAAUUGCUGCAUUUAGAGAGAGUAGGUGGGUGGGAACUUUAGGGCGGAGUGCGGCGAGACGUUGUUCAGAGUAUCGGAAGAAAAAGCUGUGGUGUAAGCACGGGAAGGUUCAACCAGGUUGUGGGUUCCGCAUAUGCUCGUUGUCGGAGUAGUUGAGAGGGAUAGGUGAAGAUUGGAUGCCAUGAACGUUUGAGAUUACACGUGUGAACGUGAAGUUUACAACUUUCGUUGGCACUUGCUUGUCAGAAGACUAUCCACAACCAUCCUUGGUGCUUGCGCAUCGGAGGUAAUUAUCCGACGAACGGAGGCUGAAGCUCACGCUCGUGCAGGCCCUAUAUAAUGAAGGCUCCGAAUGUUGAUUCCACUUCAGAACUCAUCUUUGCUUGUGGCAGUUGUGUCUAGCACUGUCGGUUACGUCCUUUCGGCGUGUCUGGGAUCGGUGUGUCGCGCAGUUACACAGCUUGCAUUUCGGUGUCCACUCUCUCCGUUUCCCUUCCCAUGAUGGCUAGCCUUGAGUAAGUACAUAUGUUUUGAACACAUGUAUGCUUGCUUAAAAUCCUUUGUCGGAGGGAAUCGGAAAGAGUGUACAAUGAAUUGCAAGCUUGAUUGAUUCGAUUCUGGUUUACAUCAGUACCUCGAGCUUGAGCUUCUGGAUUCUGGUUUCACAAUGAUUUCAGUGCAUGCAUCCCAAGAACACGACACGUAGAUUGCAAUCCACUGAAUGUCGCUCCGCUUCCUUGGACGUGGUUAUCUUCCUUCCCUGGUAACACUCCUCUUCUUCCCAUGAAUGCUGAAAUCGGAGGGAACGUGUCGGAGCCGAAUACAAAUACUGUACUGGUUGUUACAAACCUCGUCUGAAACCCCGAAUUGUUCGAAAAUCAACACCGCUAUUCCUCGGUAAGAAUCGAGAAGAUUAUUUUCUUGCUUUCUGUUUUUCGUUUUGUUUUGUUCCUAUUCACUAGUGUCGACAGUUACGACGGAGUAUUAAGUUAUCUCGGCGCACACGGAGCUUGAACAUCACUAAUGGUUGCUGCCACUGCAACUUCUACGAUCUCGAAUACUCAGCCAAUCUCCAGAGGUGUGAAGUUCAAGCACAUCAUAGACGGUGGUCACGUCGGGAAGAAAAACGUCGCCGGGUAACCGUGGGAUGCUUUGUCGGAUGCACAGCUAUUAGGAUUUGGUCUCGUGCAUCGUGGCUAUGAACAUGCAGUCGAAAAUUGUGAGAGUAUUUGACACGGCGAGGCGAGGAAUUUCUUUGUUUUGACUCAUUAAAUGUAUGUAUAUAUAUAUAUAUAUACAUACAUAUAUCGACUAUUGUAAUGUACACCAUGCUGAGUGAAGGUGGUUAUUGGAUAGAUCUAGCGUUCUCUGAGUCACAAAACUUGAUGAAGUGAAGCAUUCUGUACUGCUGUAACUUUUUUUUAUGUCUUUAGUGAAGAUCUAAAUUUUUGUAAGUUUACAACUACACAAUUUCUUUGUUGUAUAUAUGUAUGAAAUAAGUAAAGCCAAUAUUUUUGCUUUCA